ensembl:lncRNA
CUUGUUCUCACGUAUGAGCUCAUAUACGAGACUGUGUGACACGUGACUCUUUCCUAUCCUCUUUUUCUCUUUGAGUCGGAUGUAACCGGUUCACUCCUCACCUUUAAAUCUGAUUAUUUAGAGCAGGAAGAGUCAUAUGUGAGAUUAUGGCUGAACUACAUUUUCACAUAAGUGGUUUUGCAGCCGGGCUGACAGCUCUCUGCUGUUUGCUCUUUGAUCGAAGCAGAAGCCGGCGUUAGCAAACACUCUGUUUGUGUGUAAUGAAGGAAUUUGCAGCAGACGGCUCCUCGCCUUUAACCUGUGGACCAGUAGUCAUCGAUCAUGUUGAUCAGCAGUAGCGGAGGCCCUCUUUAGAGCAGUUGAUCUCACAAAACGUUUACCGGGUAAAGCUGCUCCAGUGUUUGAGGCUUCUGGACUGCCGGAGUUUCCUGCCGCUGCAGCUGGUUCGUCCUCCCCCUGCUCUCUGAAAACAUGAGGAGGAAAACGUUUUCGGAGCUGAGCCUGUGAGGAAAAUCAACCCACUAUCUUCAGUUUUUUUUUUUUUAAAGCUGGGUCAAACCUUCCAGCUGGGCCCUCGAUGAGUCAGUGGUUGAGACAUUUGCUUGGCCUCCAUCUUCUUCAGAGUGCUGUUUUUAUGAGUGUUCAUGGGGAAAAUACAUGAAGAAGAGUUAUCUUCUGCUUGUUUUGGGUGGAUAGCGACCAAAACGAGAGCAGAAAUUUUGAGUUUAGCCAUUUUUUCCCCCAUCUCCCUCUUUCUUUCUAGAUGCUUGAAAGCUUCUUCCCUAAUAUAGUAACAAUGAAAACCCGUCCACUUUCACCGCUUUGUCUUUAAAACAACUACUAAUUGGUCAGAUUUUCAAAGAGGCCUCUCUUUCUCGUCGGUCGCUUCUCUCUUUCUUUUUGCUUCAGCCUUUGCGCCUCACUACUUUGUAUACAUACUCAUUAAUCAUUUAAAUUUACUGUCAGUACUCCAUACACAAACUAUUACACCCAACCGCUUCCCACUCAGCCCCCCACCACGACCACCCACACACACCUUAACAGUGGGUUCAAAUUGAGGUCAGCGAGAAAGGAACAUUGCGUUACCUGAG